AUUGAACGCUGGCGGCAGGCCUAACACAUGCAAGUCGAGCGAGAGGCGGACGGGAGAGCAAUGUCUGUGAAACGGCGUGAUGGAGGGGGAUAACUACUGGAAACGGUAGCUAAUACCGCAUACCUGCAGAUGGGCCCGGGUGGGAUUGGGUAGGAGGUGGGGUAAAGGCUGACCAAGGCGACGAUCCCUAGCGGGUCUGAGAGGAUGACCAGCCACACUGGAACUGAGACACGGUCCAGACUCCUACGGGAGGCAGCAGUGGGGAAUAUUGCACAAUGGGCGCAAGCCUGAUUCAGCCAUGCCGCGUGUGUGAAGAAGGCCUUCGGGUUGUAAAGCACUUUCAGCGAGGAGGCGUUACUCGCAGAAGAAGCACCGGCUAACUCCGUGCCAGCAGCCGCGGUAAUUC
rnacentral:rRNA from 1 species